rfam:Trichomalopsis sarcophagae strain Alberta scaffold1363, whole genome shotgun sequence.
GUAGACGUUAGCUCAGUGAUUAGAGCACGGGCCUCUGGCUCUCGGGUCCCCGAGAUCGAGUCCCGUCGUCUACU